GCCUGGCUGGUGCAGUCGGUAGAGCAUGUGACUCUCGAUCUCGGGGUCGUGAGUUCAAGCCCCAUGUUGGGCG
rnacentral:tRNA from 1 species